rnacentral:rRNA from 1 species
CGACUCUCGGCAACGGAUAUCUCGGCUCUCGCAUCGAUGAAGAACGUAGCGAAAUGCGAUACUUGGUGUGAAUUGCAGAAUCCCGUGAACCAUCGAGUCUUUGAACGCAAGUUGCGCCCGAAGCCUUCCGGCCGAGGGCACGCCUGCCUGGGCGUCACGCAUCGCGUCGCCCCCACCUC